GGAUUAUGUGAGUGAGGGCUACAGGACUCCAUACCAAGAAAGCUGCUAGCUUUCCAUUGGAUCUUUCUGAGCUCUAGUGCAGCUGGACUCAUUGCAGCUGAGACAGUGUGUUACAGGAUGAGGGAUGGGAGAAGUGUAGGUUCCCCUGAUUGCAGACUGCAGGUCAGCCCUGCCUUCUCGUUUAAUCUGRAGUUAACUGUCUACCAGCUGCUGCKAAGGUCCAAAAGCAUGCCCAAGUCCCUCAGCUGUAGGAGCCUGCAAAUCAUGUCCAGGUCAUCUCCAAGCUGCCAACAUGGGACCUGUGUCAGUGACUCCUGCGGGAGCUGGGAACCAGCAAGGGCCUAUGCAAGGUGCCUGGGCUUCUGGACUUUUCCAGUGGCUGUUGUCUUCUAAAGACCAAGAGGCAGUAGCAGCCGGCAUUGUGGAGAGCUGCACAGAAGAGCUCCAGGCUGGCCAGCACAGAGUGUCUACCUCCUAUCUACAUCUACUCCACCUAUAAAUCUGUUUGGGAACAGCUUCUACAAAGAGAAAAGAUGCUSUCUUAAGCACACUGCUUACUCCAUUCGGAAGCACUCUGAACACAGCGAGAAGUGACUAUCCUGGCAAGAGUAGUUCCAAGCCUCAAAUCUCUUGCUAAAUAUUCAGAGUGAUGAAGCAAAGAUGGAUAUUAUUAUUAUUUGGUCGCUUCGAGGUAUAUUUUUAAGUGCUGCACAGAGAUUUAACAUUCCACUAACAACACAGAACAUUUGCUUGGCACACAAGCAGUGACCUUCAAGACUCAUCUGAGGACAAGGCAAGACAAAAAAGCUAAGCUACAGCAGCAGGGAGCUGACAAGUCAGGAAUGUACAUGCUUAAACAAGUUUCACUUAUUAAAAGAAAAUGUAAGCUUCUUUUCUGCGAUAUGUACUGCAMAGACAGACUCCUCCAAUUACAUGGUGUGCCAGUGUACCCUAAUCGUCACCAUCAGAAGGAAAUAGGUCACCAGAACAAUUAGCACCAAAGUGGUGCAUAGCCUCCUCAGCUUGAAUUCUU
ensembl:lncRNA